AUGGCAAAGGUCAAGAUGCACCAUUUAUUUCUGAUUGAAGGAUGGUACUCUCAAGAUUAUUUUUGCAUCCAUGUUACAGGAUGGUUUACUCCUAGCUUAGAGGACAUACAUAUGACAGUACAUUGCCAAAGUAUACAACAGGUGAAUCGUUGGUUAUUUCUAUCUAGUAUACAUCGGUUGCUUCUUCUACCUCAGUCUUGCGCCAUGGAACUGGUUACCCCACAAACAACAGCAGGCUGGUCAAGCAAACAUCGCAAACACCGAAAUGGAUCAUCAGUUUCAUCACAGCAACACACAUCUAUUGUGCCAAGCCGCUGA
rnacentral:rRNA from 1 species